ACCACCACAUCUGGCUAAUUUUUGUAUUUUUAGUAGAGACAGGGUUUCACUAUGUUGGCUCAGCUGGUCUCUGAACUCUUGAUCUCAAGUGAUCCGCCCGCCUCGGCCUCCCAAAGUGCUGGGAUUACAGGUGUGAGCCAGCGCGCCUAGCUGACAUCCACAACUUAAGGCUAGAAAUGUAAAAUGUUGGUUCGCAGCGUAACGAGCACAUUCCAAAGAAAACUCAAAUGGCUCCUUUGUACUCUAAAAAUAGUAAAUUUGCAGCAAGAUGAUAGUCAAGUUCUGUGUCUUCAGGGUGCCACCGCAUCUAUGAUUUAGACUAACCUAGAGAUUGUUUACUUGCCAAAUAGAGUUCUUCAAGAUGAUGUUUGGAUUUGUCUUCCCAUCUCCAGUUGCCAUAUCAGCAUUUUUGUCUGUACCCAAAUUCAUAUUACUGAAGUGUUAAAGCUGGUUUCAGUGACUCCAGUUUCUUAAAACAUGUCACUCCCUUAAUAUGAGUUAACAGUGGGUUAUAUUCUACCUUUCCAAUUUAUCCUGUUCUCAAUCACAUCUUCCCCUACCCUGGUUGAUUUGGUAAAUAUAUAUAUUUUUUAACUCUACAGACCCAGGAACUGAAUAUAUUUAUAUUUCCCAAUGAGCUAAAUGCAGUGCUGACAGUUUUAAUAUUGAUUGGUGAGAUGGAAAGAAUUUAGUACUCCCUAAAAACAAAGCACUGUAGAAGUCUGUUUCACAAGCUAUUCGUUAACUGGGUGGAUUAUUGGAGAAGGUAUUUUAAUACUAAUAACUCCUCAGAUGUGAAGCCAGAAAAUUUGAAUUAAUCUAAAUGCUAGCCUAAGUCCAAGUAUAAUUGGAUAAGUAAAUGUUGCUCCGAGAAUUGGUCUUGCAAAGACAGACCAAUUGUAAGACCAAAGUAAGUGGUUUUGAUGUAAGCUGUGCACACUUUCAGUACAGAUCAUGAAGAAUUGAUGACAUUGUCUCCUAAAAGACUAAGUAGUUGCCUCCUAGGUAUCCUUUUUCAGUCAUUCUCUUUUAAGCUUCUUACAGAGGAAGCUUUAAGUUGCCUCAGAAUUUAGUGGUAUUGCCUCAGCGAGAAUUCCUGCAUAUUUCUCUUUGGGAUGGAAUCACUUUGGUUCUUUUUUUGUUGUUGGUAACUAUUCAUAAAGAGAUUAAUACAUAACGAUGUAUUGUGAAGAGACUAGAUAGUAUGUAUAUUAUUCCUUGGGUUGGGAGGCUUAAGCAUUACUUCAGGACCCUGACCCUGGUCUUUAGGUUUAUAGGAUCAGCUAGCUUAAACAAUUCUCUCAAAACCAAGAGACCCAGCAUUCAUACAUUUUAACACCCCACACCAUAAAUCCCAUAAGCAGCCCCAUUCCUUUUGCCAUUAAAAACCUCACCCCUUCGUGAUCACACCUAACGACUGAAGCAUUCUUGAACUAAUUGCAUUAUUUCUUCUUUGCUUCUCUUCAUGUUUUAGAAAGUGUGCUAUCUGUGCAGGCACUCACAUGUUGCCCUUAAGCUGUUCUCUAGUUUAACAUGUAUGUUUUGUUUUCCUCAGCUACAUAGUAAACUGAGAGCAAAGGCUGGUUUUUUUGUUUUGUUGUUUUUGUUUGUUUGGUUUUUUUUAGACGGCAUCUUGUACUGUCACUUGGGCCGGAGUGCAGUGGUGCAAUCUCAGCUCACUGCAACCUCCACCUCCUGGGUUCAAGCGAUUCUCCUGCCUCAGCCUCCCAAGUAGCUGGGAUUACAGGCACCUGCCACUACAUCUCGCUAAUUUUUUGUAUUUUUAGUAGAGACAGGUUUUCACUAUGUUGGCCAGGCUGGUCUCAAACUCCUGACCUCGUGAUCUGCACACUUCGGCCUCCCAAAGUGCUGGGGUUACAGGCAUAAGCCACUGCGCCCGGCCCCCCAAAGGCUAUGUUUUAAACUUUGACAUUUCUAAGAUGUCCAGAAUGCUAGUGCCUGCACCUUAAUAAAUGUUUGUGAAUAAAUACAUUAUUGAAAUCUUAGGCAGGUGUGCCACAUCGCUUAAAUCUGAGACACUGUGUUCUUCAGUCAGAUCAUGCAUAUUCCUAGAAUAGUAACCUCAAAAGUUUAUACCCUUGCUACCUUUUUUAUAUUUUUUGUAGAGACAGGAUCUUGCUCUGUUUCUCAGAGUGUUUUUGAACUCCUGGGCUUAAGCAGUCCUCCCACCUUGGCUUCCUAAAGUGCUGGGAUUACAGGUAUGAGCCACUGCGUCCAGUGUUGAUACUGUGGCUCAUUUUAAUUCUCACGUAGUAUUUAGUUUCAUUUUGCAGUUUGAGGAAAUAGGCCCAGAGAUAUUAAAGUGGCAGGCCCAGAACUUGAAUCCAGGUCUUGUGAUGAGAAAUUCUCGUUUUACUAUCACGUUGCAUUGUAAAGCCAGCCUGCUUUUUCCAGUUGGGAGGCCUCGGGGAGAAAAGUCCGACCCAAGUGAGAAACACCUGUAAUAUCUACCAGAUGCCAGCAGGGUGUCCCAUGGUGCUGUCUUUAAUCCAUGUUCUUACCCUGUGUGCUGAGGGUUGUUCUAGAGUAGGACUACAUCUAGUCACAGUGGCCAUGUUCCAGAGCCUGGCAGCAAGAAAGAGGGAUGCCUGGCUCCUUGGCUUUCCACUUUGCAGUGCACAGCCAGCUCUCUCAGAGAAGCCCUGGCCCUCUCUUGACCCCUACUAUUGAGGCUGGCCCCACAGGAGGACAGCUGGUCACACAGUGGCCGAGGCCUGGCUAGCCACUCAAUAACUACGCAGCAGCCCCACAAAAUCAUAGAAAAGAACCUGUGAAAGGGUAAAUGUUUAAAACAUCUGCAUUUGUGUUGAUAGCUGAGUAUACACUUACAUUAGUAACAGAUCCACAAAAAUGACCCACUCUAGGAAUUUAAGUUUAAAAGCCAAUGUGUGGUAACUUCCAGUUUCCAAUAAAAAUGUUUGCAUUACACUUAGCCUAUGUAUACAACCUCUUAGGUAUCAGUUUUUGUAUUCAGCAACCCUAGUUGGUAAUCUACAGUGUCAAAACUAUCACUUAUGUGAAAACAAAUAGCCCUUUAAAAAUUUCCUUUCCCAAUGCUCGUUAAGCACUUGGUACAAAUGUCUGUAACUUUUAUAAUUAUUUCUUUGCAAGGCUUGGUUUCUUCAGUAGAGAAGAUUCUUAGAAGUAUCCCCAGUGACAGUACAGCUCUUGGCAUUUAGUAGGUGCUCAGUAAUUAUUUUACUGAAAUACCAAUGUUUCCAUAAUAGUUCUGGGAUAAUUCUACAUACAAGCCAUUUUUCUAAGGAGAGUCCACAUUAGAGAGGUCUUUGUUUUGUAUUCAAGAUGGUUAAAAUUAAUUAUGAACUGGGAAGUUAGUCCCUGGGGUGUCCUGGCUGGCCUUUGGAAAUCUUCACUACAUCUUUCUGGGUUGGAAUUCUCAACCACAGCCUGAACGUGGGGCUGUAUCUGAGCUGUCUCUGAGUGCCGUCCAUUUGACAUAUCGAGGACUGGGUGUUUACCAGGGCUCUUCAAGCCACUGGGAGAAACAGCUAAAGAGUAACCUACUGAUUUGAGAUGUGGAUUUGUGCCCCAUCCCUUUCUCCCUGUUUCCCACAGGAGUUUUAUCCCAAACUCUUAAGCCAUUUUUAAGGAGAUCACUGGAACAAACUCCAAACCUACCCUCUAAUAGUCAAGUUUACCUGAAUUUUCUCAGUUCUCGGGAGAAGACUAAUCACACAUUGUAGUACCAACUUGGACUCUUCAUGUGCUUUUCUUAACUGAUUAGAGUAACACAACUAAAGUGUAUAGAACAUACAUGGGGCUUCAUCAGGCUUCAGAAUCAGUUUCACUAGAUGUGCUAUGUAGGAGGCCACGGAAAAAUAACUGUAGGAGUAAAAGUUAUCAGUUCUGAUGCAAACAAUCAUUUUGUCCCAUAUUAUAAAUAAAUUGGCCUGAAAAUAUCCUUUCAUAUGUGAGGAAUAAGUAUAUGGUGCCUUUCUCCUUUAAAGUAUGAACUGCUAAAAGACAGGGAUAACGUGUAUUCUGUAUUCCAGCACCCACAGUGUGUUUCUGGUCUUCCUACCAGGUGCUCAGGAAGUGUUUUCACUGGCUUGGGUUGACUGCUUGCCAUCUGCUCUCUGAGCAUUCAUUUCUGAAUGAAAGGGGAGAAAGUGAAAGGAGAGGUGGGAAGAAAGAGGAAGCUGCAGAAAUAAGAGGAAACAGCUGGAGGAGGGAGGUGAAGCUGAGGAGGUGGGACUUACAUAAGGUCAGUAAAACAAAAAGCUAGCAGGGGGCAGGGUCAGGCCUUGGGGGUAGAGGGCUAAUUAACUUCUGUCAGCUAGUUGGAUAGAGCCUUAUGUGCUUUGUUAGAGACCAAAGGUACUUCAAAGGAAAAAAUCUAGAUUCUUCCCUGUGUACCUUAAUAAUCGUUCAUCAGGUCAAAAUCUAUCCUGUCCUCUAGGAAUUCUGGUCUCCCCUCAGGCCUAGCAGAGAGCUUUCUGCCACUACUCAGGCAACCAAGGGUGAAGUGCUUCAAGUAGUAUUUGUGGACAGCAGCAGGUAAGCUUGAUGUGUUAUUCACAGCUUAAAGAGUAAAUGCUGAGUACAGCAGUUGUCCAUGUGUAGAGCUUUUAAUAACCAGCUCAGCAGGCCCCUUCACCUGCUUUUAUGCCUGGACCAGAUGACUGAAUGUAGAACUUUAGGCACUUUUUUUUUUUUUGAGACGGAGUCUCGGUUUGUCGCCCAGGCUGAAGUGCAGUGGCGCGAUCUUCAGCUCACUGCAAGCUCUGCCUCCCGGGUUCACACCAUUCUCUUGCCUCAGCCUCCCAAGUAGCUGGGACUAUGCCAGGCUAAUUUUUAUAUUUUUUAGUAGAGACGGGGUUUCACCGUGUUAGCCAGGUUGGUCUCAAUCUCCUGACCUGGUGAUCCACCUGCCUCGGCCUCCCAAAGUGCUGGGAUUACAGGUGUGAGCCACCACGUCCGGCCCUUUAGGCACUUUCUACUUCUCAAGGUCAAGAAAUAUCCUUUUAAAAAGUUAAUUCCCUUUUCUGGAGCCUAAGCCAGAUCUUAUCUAGGCCUUGUGUUGCCAUCUGUUGGCAUUGAUUUCUGGAAUGGAGCAGCUUUCUCAAAGUUUGGUCUUGCUAGUCAUGAGGUCAUGUCAGUGUCUUAGGUCACUGCUGCUCACCUUCCUUACCCAGGGAGCAUACUGCAUCGGUUUCUGAACACCUGUUUUCAUUAUUCACUGUUCCUCUCACUGCCAAGAAUGGAGGGACCCUCAGUUGAAGAUCAAAUUGACUCUGAAGAAAAACUGGAGAGAGAUGUUUCUCUUGGAGUUUGGAUAGAGUAUUCACUUGAUAACGUUUUUGCCCUGCCUUGCUCUUCACAAGAACAUCUGGCCAGGCAUUAACAAUUAGUAAACUUUUUUGCAUAUGAACAGUAUUUUUUUUCUGGUGAUGUAGAUGGGUGCACAUGACACUAAACAAUGCUGUUUAGUGUCAUUAUAUCCCUCUUAACUGGUGGGAUGUAUUUGGGGUGGAGGCUAUAGCCAAUGAGAAGAGGUUCACCUCUGUACCCGAGAAACUUUGUGUAGGAAUUUAUUUUUUUACUAUUAGCACAAUGCUAUAAUUGAGCUAAUCUUUGUAGUUUGGUGCAGGACCACCAAAUUUGUGUGACCCAUUACCUACUUUUUCCAUGCUCAGUCAUUACCAUGUCCUGAGGCAUCUGAGGGCAGUAAGGAACAGGUGUCCAAAGGAGGAAUGUUGGUGCCUAUGUUUUCCAGUUGUAUUGAAUUUCUUACUUGGUGUAUUUUUGACUUGUCUUAGUUUCUUUCCUUGUGGUCUAUGCUAUUUUACUUGCGAUUUGUUGGAUAUUCUCCCCUGUUAUUAAAGAGUUGUAAAAUGGAAGUUAGUAUUUCUAUGCAAAUGCUUUAAUGGAUGAAGCUGAUAGGUUUAGCAUUGAUUUUUGCCGGUGUCCUUCAACAAGCAUGAAGGUGAUAAAUGUGUUUCCAUGGCUUUAGACUCAUUUUUGAAGUCUUGGAUUGUGUGAACAUUCUUAGAAACAAUAAAAUGUUUUAAUUAAAAGCCCUCAACUACCAGUUGAACUCAGUGUCUACUAGGAAAAUGGGUAGAUUUGUUACAUUGUCCCUUUGCUCUCUAUGACUUUGUUCCAGUUGUCAAGGAACUUAAAGGGGUAUUCAGGAAAAAGAAUUCUUGUUUCCCUUUCCUCACCUUGCCAGUUAAAUAACUCCUGGUGAUACUUCAGGUGGUAGAAUUGAAACACAAACCUGACUUCUGACCACAUGGGUCAAAGGAAAAGGCAAAUGGCUUCAAAGCCCUUAGUGUGCUUGUCCAGUUCAGGCGGUGAGGACUUCUGCUUUCCUCCCUGAGGAGUUUGGAGUAUUUAAGGGGGGAUGGUGGGGGGGUGUCACUUUGAAAAUAUGUUGCUUUUUCUCCUGAUUGUAUUGAGGCUGAUAUGGAAGGGUUAUUUCUUUCUGGCCAAUACUUUUUGGUAUUUCUAAAUAUUGCAAUCUUGAUUUUUACUAUUAAAUUUGUUAAUUGUCAGUUCUGGCUUCUUUGCAUAAAGAGUUGGUCCAUUAACUUGCCAAUUUGAAGCUUCUAACUAGAUAUUCCCUACUGAAAGUUUUGGAUUUGUUUUUAGUUUGUGGAGCAGUCUUAGCUGGGGACAGGUAAUUGACAACGGCAGAGAUACUUUCUUUUCCUAGGAUUCUAAGUCUGUAAUCCAUAUCCUCCAUGUAUUCACAGGACUUUAAAAUUCUCUCCAAACGAGGAAGGAAAUAUCCUGUUGCUUUCUAAUGCUUACUAAAAGUUGUGUUUAGAACAACAGAUUUUAAUAGGCAUCUUCCUUUGUUACGUGUCAUUAGCCCUUUGCCCAUUUACCUUAGGGCUCUUUGAAGGAGAAAUGGAUGGGAGAAAACCUGUCACUUGGCGAAAGUAAAGGGAAUAAUUAACUGGCUCAGAGCUUAUGUGCAGAGUUCCCAGCCCCAAAGUUAAUCUAGAACUACUCGAUAACACCAAUAAAAAUAUUUAUUUCACAUCUGUUAUAUUUCUGGAAAAUGUUGUAAGCAUCUUACAUAUAUUUCUCAUUAAAUCCACAGGUGGCCAUUGUGAGGUAGAUAUUUUGUUUUAAUUUUCCAGAUGAGGAAGCUGAGACCCUAAAAGUUUAGGUGACAGGUUAUAUAACUUGGAGUGUGGGAGGAGGAGAGAGGAACCUGAACAGGGCCAGUUGGGGAUCUGACUUUUGUUUGGGUAGAUGUAGGCACAUUGUAUUUUUGGCUUAGAUGCUUUAUUCAUCAUGGGUGAAGGUAAUACCAUUUACUCACUCACCGAAAAUUGUUUACAAUAAUCAAGAUGAAUUUGCUGUCUUUGGACAUCUGUCUUUUGACUGGACCCCAGUAUAUAGUCUGUGGAAGCUCACUUAAGGAGAGAGCUCCUUUUUUGUUUGGUUAGAGAAAUUGUCUGUCCUAAAAGUAGAAAUAGCCCCUUCUAGGUAGGGAUGGAGCAUUUGAUCAUACUGGUUUCAUUAUAUUCCUCUAACAGUUGGAACCGAUUGUUUUUGAGUACUUGUUUCAAACUUCUGAAUAUUUUCCUUCUGGAAAAUAGCUCAGUGUUUAAAAUUUAUAUGAUUCUUAAAAGGUUAAUUUUUUUUAAAGAAUGUUUGAGGAGCAAUCAACAAUUCUGAUCUUGUCUUAUAGAUAGAAAUAGAAUUAGCCAUUUUCCUCAAGAAAAGUGAUUCUUCUGAAUCUUAGCUCUUCAGUAAUGAGAACUGGACUGUUUUCACUUGACCUCUAUUUCCUAUUAGUGGGAAACCCCUCCCCAGAGGUGCUGUGUGAAAGAUUGCUGGGGAAAGGGUUUCUAGAUCCCAGCAUAACAAGUUCAAAAGAGUCUAGCGAGAUUGUCAUUAGAAUAAUGGUCUUCAUUAAGUACUAGUUUUCAUAAUCCUGAAGCUUCAUUUUCACCAAUUUGAAAGGCAGUAGCUAGGGAGGAGAAGGCUAUGCAGGGAAGGAGGAAAACUCAGGAGUGCAUCACAGAGACCUUGAGUGAGUUAAGGCAGGGAAGAAGCAGAUUUGCUAUCCACUGAAUGAAAAUAAAAAGAAUUCCAUUGUCCAAGGUCAGAGCAAGAACACAAAGGUUUUAGUUUACUUAGUUAAUUCCUUAGGUUUGGACAUUACAGGAGACAUGGGGGUCACCCACAGCAGUUUAGCUGAUAAAUGUAUCAGAAACUCUUUCAUCAUUUUCUGUCCCCUCCUAUCUUAGGCUGACCGGUUCCCUGAUGUGUUACCUGCUUCUACUGAUCCAAACUGCAGAACUUCUCAUUCAUCCCCAAGGCCUCCAGGCAGUAUCCAAUGGGGAAUCAGCUCUAAAAGGAACCAGACCAACGUUUUCCAGCCCCUUCAUUCUGUAGCUACCCUCUGUGUGAGGAAAGGAUAGAAAUGUUCAGGACAUCAUCAUACAGGCUCCUCAUCUACAAAGUUCCAGUAGCAGUGACGCCUACACGGAAGACUUGGAACUGCAAACAGAGGCUGGGGUCACCUCAGUGACAUCUCCUGACGCUGUCCAACCAGAAGUUCGAUUUUUGUUCUGGGGGUGAAGGAGGAAACAGACUGUACUAAAGGACUAAAAUAAUUUCUUGUCUAUACUA